rnacentral:rRNA from 1 species
AGAGUUUGAUCCUGGCUCAGGAUGAACGCUAGCUACAGGCUUAACACAUGCAAGUCGAGGGGCAGCAUGUUGGUUGCUUGCAACCAAUGAUGGCGACCGGCGCACGGGUGAGUAACGCGUAUCCAACCUACCCUUGUCCAUCGGAUAACCCGUCGAAAGGCGGCCUAACACGAUAUGCGGUUCACAGCAGGCAUCUAAGGUGAACGAAAUGUGAAGGAGAAGGAUGGGGAUGCGUCUGAUUAGCUUGUUGGCGGGGCAACGGCCACCAAGGCGACGAUCAGUAGGGGGUUCUGGAGAGGAAGGUCCCCCACAUUGGAACUGAGACACGGUCCAAACUCCUACGGGAGCA